rnacentral:rRNA from 1 species
GCAAGUCGAGCGCUUCCCUUCGGGGAGGAGCGGCGGACGGGUGAGUAACGCGUGGGAACGUACCCUUUUCUGCGGAAUAGCCACUGGAAACGGUGAGUAAUACCGCAUACGCCCUUCGGGGGAAAGAUUUAUCGGGGAAGGAUUAGCCCGCGUUAGAUUAGGUAGUUGGUGGGGUAAUGGCCUACCAAGCCUACGAUCUAUAGCUGGUUUGAGAGGAUGAUC